CUUUGUAAACCUAGGGGCUCGACCUGUAUAUAAAGGCGAGUCUCCAAGGCCAAUAGACUUAAGUUACAAUCCAACGAGAGCUAGGUCAAGCGAGUCUGCACCCUUGUAAUCGAUUUCAUCAUCAAUACACACAAAGCAGGACGUAGGCUUUUACCUCCAUCGGAGGGGACAAACCUGGGUAAACUCGUCUCUCGUUCCCGAU
rnacentral:lncRNA from 1 species